UGCUCUGUGCAGGCCCGAGAACACGUGCGCUCAGAAUGGAGGUUCACAGAAAAGGGAGGGAACCUCAACUGCAUCCCACAAGCCAUCCAGCUUCUCCAAGCCUGCUUUCCUCCAAUAUAAGGCGUGCUAAAAAUCUCUUACUCCAAAGGCUUGCAGACCAGAUGAAUAAUAAAUGUGAAGCCCAGCAGGAGCAAGAGGAGGUGAUCAAUAUCAAUAGAGACCAGCUGGGUGAAGUCAACAGAACCGUGCCUGUCGCUGGUAGACACACCAUAAGCAACAGCUCUUCUGCAGGCCUCCACCGCCCACCUCUGCCGGCAACACACGGUUUAUCCCGAAACCCAGCAUUCAAUGCAGAUGGAUGAGAUGCAUCAAGGCUUUACGGUAGGUGUGUGCCACCAUGCUGGUCACCCAGCACGCUGCCCCUCCCCGCAGUCAGCCACGAAGCGGAAGGAGAUGAAGCAUACCCACACUGGUCCAGAGUCUGGGCAGACAAAAAGUGGCCCGACUCUUGGGAGCCCACCCACCCGGUCAAUGGAAGGCACCAAGGAGCUGGAGGGUUCACCACACCUCCCCUCCUGUUGCUGCUCUUCCUGAUCUGCCUGG